AUUGAACGCUGGCGGCAUGCCUUACACAUGCAAGUCGAACGGCAGCACGGGUGCUUGCACCUGGUGGCGAGUGGCGAACGGGUGAGUAAUACAUCGGAACAUGUCCUGUAGUGGGGGAUAGCCCGGCGAAAGCCGGAUUAAUACCGCAUACGAUCUACGGAUGAAAGCGGGGGACCUUCGGGCCUCGCGCUAUAGGGUUGGCCGAUGGCUGAUUAGCUAGUUGGUGGGGUAAAGGCCUACCAAGGCGACGAUCAGUAGCUGGUCUGAGAGGACGACCAGCCACACUGGGACUGAGACACGGCCCAGACUCCUACGGGAGGCAGCAGUGGGGAAUUUUGGACAAUGGGCGAAAGCCUGAUCCAGCAAUGCCGCGUGUGUGAAGAAGGCCUUCGGGUUGUAAAGCACUUUUGUCCGGAAAGGAAUCCUUGGCCCUGAUACGGUCGGGGGAUGACGGUACCGGAAGAAUAAGCACCGGCUAACUACGUG
rnacentral:rRNA from 1 species